UAGUGUUACACCUCUUUUGGAAUUUGUCUAGCAGGCUUUCCGGCAAACCCCC
ensembl:snRNA U7 U7 small nuclear RNA